UACGUAGGGUGCGAGCGUUAAUCGGAAUUACUGGGCGUAAAGCGUGCGCAGGCGGUUCGUUGUGUCGGCGGUGAAAGCCCCGGGCUCAACCUGGGAAUGGCCGUUGAAACUGGCGGACUGGAGUGUGGCAGAGGGGGGUGGAAUUCCGCGUGUAGCAGUGAAAUGCGUAGAGAUGCGGAGGAACACCGAUGGCGAAGGCAGCCCCCUGGGCUAACACUGACGCUCAGGCACGAAAGUGUGGGGAGCAAACAGG
rnacentral:rRNA from 1 species